AUGGAAGGGUUGUGGAUGGAGGGAUGAAUGAGUGGGCAGAUGAGUGGAUGGACAGGUAGCCUACCCAAGGAAUCUCAGAAACACAUCACCGCAGGCUCUCCCCCAGCUGCGGGGCACCGUGCAGUCAGACACCUUCAUCACCUCUGGGACGCCCAGGAGAAAAGGCCGCAGACAGGACGUCCUGGCGCCCACGAGCCAGGAACGAGCAGGUGGCGCAGCCUGACCCGGGCAGCAGAGUCCUGGGCUCCAGAAUCCUGUUCCACUGACAAGCUGUGUGACCCUGAGCCCGCAACCCAACUUCUCUGUGCCCCCACGUUCUUAUGUGUGAAAUGGGAUAAUAUGUGUGCCGGGAGAUGAUGAGGAUCAGGUCAGAUGUUGACAAAGGGCACAGCACUGAGCCCCCUCAGCCAAUGCUCUUUGUAAGUAAAAUGCCCGACCCCUGUCCGCUCUCCAGAGCCACACGGGCACAGCCUCCCUGCCCAGAACAUCCUCUCCCCUGCUGCUCCUGGGAACUGCCUCUUGUCUUCCCAGAGCGUUGGACCCGCAGGGUCUCUGUGUUCUGGGGCCCUGCUCAGUGAGCGGCCACUUGUUCCUGGGCCUCCCCUGCUGGCUGCGGCACCCGGGGGUCUGUCUGACUGUGAGCACAAAGCCUCACACCCCCCACACACCUACCGGGAAGCUGCAAAUGAGUGGUGGGUCAGCCUGCUGUGCUCUCCUGGGCACCUCCCUCCCUGGAGCGCCCCAGGGCUCCCCGCCAGCCCAGGUGCGCCUGCUCCCUCCUGGCCUGCGGGCCGGCCGGGUGCUGGCCAGUGUCCUUUCCCACGGCUGCCGCGUGUGUGGCAGCAUAUGAAUGAGAUGCUAACAAUUUCCGGUUUCCAUCAUCUGCUGGAGCCCAGAGCAGAGGCGCAGGGAAGGAUGGAAGGGCUUCCUGGGGCGGCCCGGGUGGGGGCUGCUGAGGACAUGUUCAGGAAAUGGCCAGGGGGUGGGGUGGGGCGGAGAAUGGGCGGCCUGGCUGGGCCCUAAUCCUCCCACACCGACGGGGCUCUGGGCUGCGGGCAGAGGCGGAGGGCAGUGGGCCAGGGCCUCACCUGGGCCCGCCUCCCCCACAGCCCUCAGGACCUGGGAGGGCACCCGCGGGAGGGGUCGUCACCAGCCCAGGCUCAGGAGUGACGUGCACAGCUGGCAAAGGGAAUCCACCAGGUGAGGCGCGGCCGGGGCAGUGGAGCGCCCACGUCCACGGCACCCUGACCUGCACGCGCUCAGCCACAGGCAGGCACCCUGGGCCUCAGGCCUGACGCGGGGCCCACGGGGCACCGCGCUUCACGUCCAUCGUCCAUCGUGGGCCCAGGCCCGUGGCAGGGGCCACAUUCCUAUGGCAACUGGCUGUGUCUUGAGAUCAGCAAACACCGCAGCAAAGACAGCUCAAUGAGGGGCUCUGGGGCCUGCGGCGGGGACCCUCCCGGCCGCCUCCCCUCCAGCCCGCAGGACCAGGGCCGCCCGGGUUUACCUACGUGGGAUUCAAGCAGCGACGUCUGGGGCAACCUCUGGGGCAACCUCUGGGAACCUGCCGAUGGCGACGGAGGCUGUGGCCGGAUUUUGCAGUCAGUGCGGGGACCUGGAGGCCUGAGAGGGUGGGAGCCAGUCCCCUCCCGUCCCCUUUCAGCCCAGGCUCCGGGAAGGAGCCACAUUCAUAUGAGUUUACCUUUUGUGCCUGAGAUGCACAGAACAUUCCAGAAACGCUGUACCAGGGUGCCCAGCCCUGGAGACCAGUGGGCCGCCCCGCCCCCUCCUGUGCUCACAUCCUCCCCCAGGAAGGCCGCUCCUGCCCUGGACUGAGGCUGGCCUGGGGAGACAAUCAGCAGAGUCACUGUCCCAGGCCUUCUGAGGCGGAGCAGGCCAAACCCACCCACUUCCUGUCUCACACUGCAACAGCCCACCCACCCGUGCCCAGCGCCUGCCCAUCUCCUGCAGGGAAUGCCCACGACUCCCACUCCCCCUUUCUGACACGGCCUGCCCUGAGGCAGCAGAGGAAGCUGGAAGUCGGCGUCCAGGACCCCGCUGCAGACCCAAAUGGCCACUCCACACCCCCCACCCGCACCCCAAGUCCUCCACGAGAGAAUUCGGCCUAUUCCAGUGAGCUCAAGGAGAGAAAAAGGGACCCUUGGCCUCCGGGGGCGUAGGGUGGCCGUGGAGCAAACCUCAGAGAAACAGCUACAAUUAAAGAGAAAUAAGAAUUAACAGAGGGGCUGGGGCUGGGGCUCAGAGGCAGAGCGCUCGCCUGCCGUGCAUGGGGCCCUGGGCUCCACCCUCAGCACCACAUAACCAUAAAACGAAG